AGCUGUGAUAACCCAUGGAUAACCUAAUAAUAUAAUAGCAAGACAAAAUGAAUUGGUAUAUUUUCGGCCUCCUGCCUCGAGUGGAAUUUUACUGUAUCAGUUUAAAACAAUGCUGCAUUCUUAUAGCCAUAGUGUAUUUUUUUUACGGUCUUGAAGCAAUACUUAGCAAUGAACUUAAUGUGGUAUAUGGAAAAUGCAUCUUCACAGGCAUAUUAUUGGAUAUGAUGAUCUGUUUAGCAAGGAUCGUCUGUACGGUAAUGUGUAUAGCCGCUUUCGUUUUCCUAUUCGGGAUUAUUAAGAAAAACCGUGACGUCUAUUUAGCUAUCAUGCAUCUCACAAUGGUGGUGGUUUUACUGAAUUUGUGUGGAUUUUUCCUUUUGGUUUUUACAAAAGAUAAUAAUUGUAACAAAAACUGUCCGAUGCGCUACUAUUUCGCGGCACUAUGUUUUUUUUGGACCGCAUUGCUUUUCUUUUUCCUGGUAGUGAUCAACAGUCAGUAUAGAAGUGAAAUAAUGCAUCGAAUAACCGUUACACCACCUGCUAGCACUGAUAACGAAGUCAUAGAAGAUAGAUAACGUCUUUAUGU